ensembl:lncRNA
AUGUGUAAAAGAGGUGUGUAAAAUAGGUGUGUAAAAGAGAUGUGUAAGAUAGGUAUGUAAAAUAGAUGUGUAAAAUAGAUGUGUAAGAUAGGUGUGUAAAAUACGUGUGUAAAAGAGGUGUGUAAAAUAGGUGUGUAAAAUAGGUGUGUAAAAUAGGUGUGUAAAAUAGAUGUGUAAAAUAGGUGUGUAAAACAGAUGUGUAAGAUAGGUGUGUAAAAUAGAUGUGUAAAAUAGGUGUGUAAGAUAGGUGUGUAAAAUACGUGUGUAAAAUAGGUGUGUAAAAUAGAUGUGUAAAAUAGGUGUGUAAAAUAGAUGUGUAAAAGAGGUGUGUCGUUUUGCUCAUGUGAAAGAUAAGACCUGUCUGUAAAUCAGCUCGUACAUUCGGACAGGUUAAUCCUGUCAGUUAUUCCCAGUGUUUUAUGUCAUGGAUUUCUAUAAGAUGGUCCCUGAAGGUUUAAAAGCCAAAGUGCUGAUAAGAAAUAAAAUGACUGUUACUAAAGAAACACUUAAGUGAAAGUAAAAAGACGCCUUAAUGUUAAACUUCACAGCUCAGUCUCCAUGCCUCGUUAGAGAUUACUUUCAGUCACAUCCCAAACUCAGAGAUUCCAUUCUAACAAGACUCGGGUGCGUUUCACCCAUAAUGCACUGCGAGCACACAUCAGACUUAACACUGAGUGUGUCUGACCCUGUUACCCCACCCCCUUUACUAAACACUCCCAGUGCAUUUCACAAAAAACACACAUCUGUCACAGUGUGUAACGGCCAAUCAGAAACAGGAGUGUGUGUGUGUGUGUGUGUGUGUGUGUGUGCGUGUGUGUGUGUGUGUGUGUUCUAUAUAAACUGCUAUAUUUUAUAUUACUUGAAUACAUAAAUUUUUGUUAUUUAUUUGGUGUAUAUUAUUUUUAUACUGUAUAGCCUUACAAUACAACUUUUGAUAUUAUAUUAUUUAUUAUUGUUUAUUUACGUAGAAUCUAUUUAUUCACGGUAUUUAUAUUUAUUUAAUUGUGUAUUUCAUUCAUCUCAUUUCUAAGUAAUCACCGUAAUAAGACUGUUUUUAUAAUACAGCUGUAAGAUACACUAUAAUAUAAUAAUUUGUAUAAUAACUUAUAAUUUACUAUUUAUUUAUUUGCAAACACAACACAGGUUUAUUUGUGUUAUAAAUAUAUAUAUUUGUUUAACAAAUAUAUAUUUGUUAAAUAUAGGUGUGCAACAAUUAUUGGCACCCUUUUAGUCAAUGCUUUGUGCUAGCUCCCUUUGCCGAGAUAACAGCUCUGAGGCUUCUCCUAUAACGCCUGACGAGGUUGGAGAAUACAUGGCGAGGGAUCUGAGAGCGUUCCUCCAUACAGAACCUCUCCAGAUCCUUCACAUUUCAGGUCCACGCUGGUUUCGAGGUCCUCUUCAGUUCACCACACAGGGUUUCUAUGGGGUUCAGGUCAGGGGACUGGGAUGGUCAUGGCAGGACCUUGAUUUUGUGGUCAGUAAACCAUUUCUGUGUUGAUGUUGAUGAUGUUUUGGAUCAUUGUCCUGCUGGAAGAUCCAACCACGGCCCAUUUGAAUCUUUCUGGCAGAGGCAGUCAGGUGUUCAUUUAAUAUCUGUUGAUAUUUGAGAGUCCAUGAUGCCAUGUAUCCUAACAAAAUGUC